UACGUAGGGUGCAAGCGUUAAUCGGAAUUACUGGGCGUAAAGCGUGCGCAGGCGGUGAUGUAAGACAGAUGUGAAAUCCCCGGGCUCAACCUGGGAACUGCAUUUGUGACUGCAUCGCUGGAGUACGGCGGAGGGGGAUGGAAUUCCGCGUGUAGCAGUGAAAUGCGUAGAUAUGCGGAGGAACACCGAUGGCGAAGGCAAUCCCCUGGGCCUGUACUGACGCUCAUGCACGAAAGCGUGGGGAGCAAACAGG
rnacentral:rRNA from 1 species